GCUGGGCGUGGUGGCGGGCACCUGUAAUCCCAGCUACUCGGGAGGCUGAGGCAGGAGAAUCACUUGAACCCAGGAGACGGAGUUUGCGGUGAACUGAUAUUGUGCCACUGCACUCCAGCCUGGGUGACAGAGUGAGAUUCUGUCUCAA
rnacentral:SRP_RNA from 1 species